CAGAAGGUCAGAGAAGGGAGGGCAGAGCACGGAGACCGGGGCGGAAAGGAGGCGUGGCCAGAGAAGGAGGCGGGCCUCAGAGAGGUGGUCCCCAGGAGGAAGUGGGCGUGGCCGUGCCUUGGGAACCGUGGGUGGGUGGCUAGGAUGUAAACAAAAGCCUCCCUCCCGUGCUUUAAGAGAGCGUUCAGGGACGAAAGAAUCAUAACAAAGACAGGAAGCCAAGUAGUGAACAAACAGAAUUCAAAAAGUGCCUAAUGGACUCCAGGCCUGGGCCAGAAGCAGAGCCCGAGGGAGUCUUGGACAUCCCUCCCGGGAAGUGGCAGUAACAAAAGAAGUGGCCCGGGGCUCUUGGGGAGGUGGCAGAUGGACCCAUACCGGAAGGUGACUCUGAGGCCCCAUGAGACCCGGAGUCUGAAGGCCAGGCAGGGAGAGGUGACAAGGGGAGACGAUGGCGCUGCUGUGGGGAUGAGUCACGUUGUCGCCUGCCCCAGUGACGGAGUCAGCACAUCGUCAGAGGAAAGUGAGCUGCAUGCCUUCCUAGGGCCCGAGAAGUAAAUACAUGCACAGACACACAGAAGCACCCGGGAGAUCGGAACAGGAAGUGGAUUCCGUGGGAGGCAGAGCUAAAGGUCCCUGUGAGCAGUCUCGAAGCAUCCCCAGGCCCAGGUGGGCUGAGGAUGCAGAAGUGGGGAUCCUGAGUCCCCACCACGCGGCAGCACCCAGUGGCUUAUGGGAAAGGAAACAUCAGACAGAAUUGUGAUGGAACUCUGUCACCAUCUAGAUGAGUACUCUAGUAUUUAUGCUUGCCUCUGUUGGGGAAGUCUCAGUCUUAGGAUCUGUUACAGAUAGAUGCUGUGACUCCUGAUUGAAAGGAGACAGUGAGAGGAGAGAAGCGACGUUCACGCCCACGACUGAGAGCACCAGUGAUUGUGUCGUGCAGCCUGUAUUAGCUACUGCUUCCAUGUAUAUCUGC
rnacentral:lncRNA from 1 species